rnacentral:rRNA from 1 species
GCGUUAAGUAUCCCGCCUGGGGAGUACGCACGCAAGUGUGAAACUCAAAGGAAUUGACGGGGGCCCGCACAAGCGGUGGAGUAUGUGGUUUAAUUCGAUGCAACGCGAAGAACCUUACCAAGACUUGACAUCCUGCGAAUCCCGGUGAAAGCUGGGAGUGCCUUAGGGAGCGCAGAGACAGGUGGUGCAUGGCUGUCGUCAGCUCGUGUCGUGAGAUGUUGGGUUAAGUCCCGCAACGAGCGCAACCCUCGUUUUUAGUUGCCAGCAUUAAGUUGGGCACU